AGCAGCCGCGGUAAUUCCAGCUCCAAUAGCGUAUAUUAAAGUUGUUGCAGUUAAAAAGCUCGUAGUUGAAUUUCGGGGUUUAUCCGUUGGUCGGGCUUUUGGGUCUGUACUGGCGUGAUGGAUUCCUACCUUCUGAAUAACCAGCAUGUCAUUAAUUUGGUGCGUUGGGGAAGCAGGACUGUUACCUUGAAAAAAUUAGAGUGCUUAAAGCAGGCUAUUGCCUGAAUACAUUAGCAUGGAAUAAUGAAAUAGGACGCAUGGUUCUAUUUUGUUGGUUUCUAGGAUCACCGUAAUGAUUAAUAGGGAUAGUUGGGGGCAUUAGUAUUCAAUUGUCAGAGGUGAAAUUCUUGGAUUUAUUGAAGACUAACUUCUGCGAAAGCAUUUGCCAAGGAUGUUUUCAUUAAUCAAGAACGAAAGUUAGGGGAUCGAAGACGAUCAGAUACCGUCGUAGUCUUAACCAUAAACUAUGCCGACUAGGGAUCGGACGAUGUUAAUUUUUAAUGUACUCGCUCGGCGCCUU
rnacentral:rRNA from 1 species